rnacentral:rRNA from 1 species
GACGAACGCUGGCGGCGUGCCUAACACAUGCAAGUAGGACGCAGUUGCGAACGGGUGAGUAACGCGUAGGUAACUACCUAUUAGAGGGGGAUAACUAUUGGAAACGAUAGCUAAUACCGCAUACUAGUAGGUGGACCUGCGUUGUAUUAGCUAGUAGGUAGGGGAAUGGCCUACCUAGGCAACGAUACAGAGCCGACGUGGGAGGGAGAUCUGCCCCAACGGGACUGGGAAACGGCCCAGACUCCCUCGGGGGGCAGCAGGAGGGAAUCUUCGGAAAUGGGGGGAACCCUGACCGAGUAACGCCGCGGGAGUGAAGAAGGGUUUCGGAUCGGAAAGCUCUGUUGUUAAGGGAGCGGUACUUAACCAGAAAGGGACGGCUAACUACGUGCCAGCAGCCGCGGUAAUAC